rnacentral:ncRNA from 1 species
CGUCGCGAGGCGGCAUCUGAAGGAAGCGGAAGGCAACACGCUGUCCCGACGAACAGGAAUCGCACAUGAGGCGUCCAUGUCGGAUGAGAAGGCAAAUGUCUUCAAGGUCCGAUACCUGUAAGGAAGACAGGACCGUAGGA